AUAUCAAUAAGCGGAGGAAAAGAAACCAACAGGGAUUGCCCUAGUAACGGCGAGUGAAGCGGCAAUAGCUCAAAUUUGAAAUCUGGCUUCCUUGGAAGUCCGAGUUGUAAUUUGCAGAGGGCGCUUUGGCGUCGGUAGCGGUCUAAGUUCCUUGGAACAGGACGUCACAGAGGGUGAGAAUCCCGUACGUGGUCGACUACCUUCGCCGUGUAAAGCCCCUUCGACGAGUCGAGUUGUUUGGGAAUGCAGCUCUAAAUGGGAGGUAAAUUUCUUCUAAAGCUAAAUACUGGCCAGAGACCGAUAGCGCACAAGUAGAGUGAUCGAAAGAUGAAAAGCACUUUGGAAAGAGAGUCAAACAGCACGUGAAAUUGUUGAAAGGGAAGCGCUUGCCGCCAGACGUGCCCGUGGUGGUUCUCCUCCGCGGGCAGGCCAGCAUCAGUUUGGGCGAUCGGAUAAAGGCCUCUGUCAUGUAUCUCCCUUCGGGGUGACCUUAUAGGGGAGGCGUAAUGCGAUCAGUCCGGACUGAGGUCCGCGCAUCUGCUAGGAUGCUGGCGUAAUGGCUGUAAGCGGCCCGUCUUGAAACACGGACCAAGGAGUCUAACAUCUAUGCGAGUGUUUGGGUGUCAAGCCCGAGCGCGUAAUGAAAGUGAACGGAGGUGGGAACCCUUUGGGUGCACCAUCGACCGAUCCUGAAGUCUUCGGAUGGAUUUGAGUAAGAGCAUGGCUGUUGGGACCCGAAAGAUGGUGAACUAUGCUUGAAUAGGGUGAAGCCAGAGGAAACUCUGGUGGAGGCUCGCAGCGGUUCUGACGUGCAAAUCGAUCGUCUUGAUGUGACAUU
rnacentral:rRNA from 1 species